rnacentral:lncRNA from 1 species
UGCUUCCGUGAGGGUCUGAGGUGAGCCCUUCUGUAUGGGAGGGUUGCAAUCUCCUCCUUUAUUGGGGGAUCCUGGCCACAUUUUGAGGCUGGCAACCAUCUGUACCUGAAAACUGCUUCUUUGGGAGUGUGGGUGGCAGCAGAAAGCCAUGGUGCUCCCAAGUACUGUAAGGACUGCAUGGAGAGAUGUGCGGGUCUUCAUGGGAACAGCAAGGAACUGAAAGCUGCAUUUCCUGGGAUGCCCUGGAACCCCACUUUGCUGACUGGUAACUGUCUGCCCGGCAGGUGGCAGCAGAAAGCUGUGGUGCUCCCGAGUGCUGUAAUGACUGCACGGCGAGAUGUGCGGGUCUUCAUGGGAACAGCAAGGAACUGAAAGCUGCAUUUCCUGGGAUGCCCUGGAACCCCACUUUGCUGACUGGUAACUGUCUGCCCGGCAGGCAGGUCUUCAAUGACGAUAUUGGACAGAACAGGCCUGAAGAGCACUCAGGAUGGCAUACCAGCUGCAUUUAACACGAUUGAGCAGCACUCAUUAGGCCAGGCAGUUCAGCUAGUUCUUCAUCUAGCAAGCAAUGUACCCGUCCAAGUAGCCGGCUGCAAUCUUUCAGAGAAUUUUAAGGGAUAGCACAUCAAAGGGUUUGCCUCACUCAUGGGGUUGGGUCACCUUUGCUUUGAGUUUGCUACCGUGGCUGACCCUAAUCCUGUAACUGACAUCCUGUAGCUGGACAGAGACCAUUCACACUCCAUCCAGGCUGUUUGAGACUCACAGCCAUGCUGAGAGUCACACUGAUUUCAGCGUGUGCAGUCAUUUUGCAUCAACCCAAUUGGCUUUAGCUUUACAAAUAAUUUGAUCUCAACCAAAUUGGCUUUAGCUUUGCAGUUAAUGCAUUGCAAAUAAG